UCUGAAAGAAGUACUCUGAAGAAGAUGAAUGAAAUGACAGCAUUUAGGAAAUUUUAGACACUGCUCAAGAUGCGCAUUAUUGUAUCUGUCCUCAGCAUGUGAUGUGUGCGCAAACUGUUGUGCCUGCUCACUCUCCCUCUUUAGCAAAGGGGCUCCCUGAAGCAUCUGGCAGCUUUCCAUCCUCACACUGAUUCUGAGGUUUGCAGAACCAAGAGCUGUGUUGCCAAGGUCCAUCUUUAUUUUAAACUAUAGAAAGCCUGUAUGAUGUGCUAGGUCACUCCCAAGCUUAAAAAUGAUAACAUUGCUUAGGGCCAAUAUUGUUAACAUGUUAGCAAGGAGUAAUAUUGCAUUUCUCAUUUGUUUUCCAGACUUUGUUGGGUGUUAUAUUAGUAGUGGUGAUACAAAGUUUGUAGUACAAUUGCUUUAUUAACUCUAAGAUUUUAGUAUUUGCCAUUUUAGAAAAUGCCAGUGUGCUUGCACGCUCAGUGUAGUGACGGAUGCUAGCUCAAAACAGCCUUGGGCUACAGCUGAAAGCAAAGUCUACUUCAUUCACAGGCAGAAGCAUAUUCUGCAGGGGUGAAGGCUUUAAAGAUUUACCUGUGAAGUUCUACAAAGUCUUUACAACAGAUGUGCAAAAUAUGAUUUUUCAGAGUUUGGAAAUUUGUCCAAAUUUGAGUGAGUUAUCAAGGGAAGAGCAAAAGGCACAAAUGUGGGAGAAAAGACAUUACCCAGAUGAAUGUCAAGUCCCUGCUUUAGAGCUUGAGUCUACAAAGCUUUUCAAAGAAAAAGCCACCACCAUGUUUCAGUACCAACACUUAUUUUCCUUGUUCUCUUAAAUGGAUUGAACUGGUUUUGGACUGAACAUUUCUAAAAAUUACAAUGUAAACCAUGCAUUUUUUAGUGAUAGAAAAUUUCAGACUGGAUUAUCGAAGUUGGACAAAGUUAUAAGUAACAGAGGACCUGGAGUUUCCAGCUAAGGGAACUCUGUGCAGGUGGACACCAUGACUCUUCUGCACAGAGAGAGAAGAUAGUGAAGCACAGAUGGAAUGAAGAAACUUACAGUUCUUUGAUGAGAACAUGAGUUUUCCUAUCUUGUGUCCUAGGUGUCCUAGCCAUUGAUUAGACCAGCCUAUGAAUGUUCAGCUCACCAUUUCCCAAGCAAUAAUUUCCCAUGAUAUGAAUAUUGGUCAUUCAGGUUCUUCAGUUUGUAUUGCGUAUGUAACCAUUCGUUGGUGCCUUGACAGGAGAACAACUGGUCAAAAUGGUAAAACAGGCAACACAAUUUGAAUCUAGUAGCCUCUAGAGCAAUCCUAGUUGAAUUUCAGAAUUCUCUUACCUUUGGUUAUGUAGUGGGGGAUGCACAGAAGUGUGAGUAUUACUUUGUCCCCUGUUAUGAUACAUCCAAUCCUGCUGGUUAAGGGGGUUCAUGGACGGUGCUGCAAACAUCUAAGAGUACUUCAGAAAGUGAUGCCAGGGGUCUAGUAUAGUGUGUGUACAUGUAUAUACAUAUGCUUCCUCUUCUGGAGUCAGACUAGGACUGUUGCUGAAGCAUAGUGUCAACUGAAAAGGCAGGUCUUAGCUAUCUGUGCUCAUGCGGUGUUUUCAUGGGGCUGGCAGUGUGUGCCUCUCUUCUUUGGGCUUCAGUUCUAAAUUCUGAAAAGCCUGUUCUGUUUACCUGCACCUUCAAGUGGAUACAACAAACUUGCUUGCACUAUUUGGCAUGGACUGCAUAGGGUCUGGGGUAAUUUCUUGUCCAAAAGAUUGAAAUUUUAUAAUGGGAAGUUUUCAGUGUUUUAAAAAAAUAUUAUCCUUAGUUCUGCUCCAUUCAGGUUUUCAGGUGCUCUGAGAGAGGAGGUGGUGCUGGACACAAAUGGAUUGUCGAGAUGGCAGCUGAACCGAACAGGAACACAAUAAUUUGUGCAUCAUGAGGGCUUCCACUAGCUUUUAAUCAUGAAGAGACAAGCCUUUAGCUGGGAUUUCCCAAAGAAGAUUCAUGUCACGGACCUAAGAAAUUUCAUGUCAAUCAAAUGUUGAAUAGUGUUUGUGAAGCAGCUGCAGCGUGCUAGAUUUUCCACCAGAAACAGCGAUUCUGGCUACAUUGGCUUUGGUGAAGUAUCCUGUCAGAUGGAAAUGCAUUAAUCAAAACCAGGACCUUCAGUGAUUUGGCUGCUGAAGCUCAGCUGAGGAAACAUUUGCACAUCCUUCUGCAGCAGGGCAUUCUUGGCUUCCUCUGCUGUGUUGUGCAAGGGUUUGGUGUAUUUGCCUCCAGCGGUAACUGCAUUUCAGUGGUAAAUGAAAUGACUCAAAUCCUAGGGACUGGGAUGUAUGCGGGUAAUACUCUAACCUAUAAAAUUAUUCAUGCUCUUCCCUGGGGUAUGGGAAAUGGGAGUUGUUUAUUUGCACAUUUUUUAAUUUGAAGAAAGACUUGGAGAAAGUGUAUUCAAACCAAGGGGAUAAGGGAAACUCCCUUUGUGGUAUCUGGUCAAUGAUGGAAAAUUGAGCUUAGGAGAUUUUGACAGUAUUCCAUGUAAGGGCUGCAAUCUUGAUCAAGACAGUUGACUUCUCCUGUAAGACAAA